UGGGGAAUUUUGCACAAUGGGGGAAACCCUGAUGCAGCGACGCCGCGUGAUUUAGAAGGCUUUCGGGUUGUAAAAAUCUUUUCUAUGGGAAGAAAAUGACAGUACCAUAGGAAUAAGGACCGGCUAAUUACGUGCCAGCAGACGCGGUAAUACGUAAGGUCCGAGCGUUGUCCGGAAUCAUUGGGCGUAAAGGGUACGUAGGCGGGUAAGCAAGUUAGAAGUGAAAUCCUAUAGCUCAACUAUAGUGAGCUUUUAAAACUGCUCAUCUUGAGGGAUGGAAGGGAAAGUGGAAUUCCUAGUGUGGCGGUGAAAUGCGCAGAUAUUAGGAGGAAUACCGGUGGCGGAGGCGACUUUCUGGCCAUAACCUUACGCUGAGGUACGAAAGCGUGGGUAGCAAACAGG
rnacentral:rRNA from 1 species